CUACCAGUCAUAGUUAGGCACAUCACACCAGAGGGUAUUUAAGCAACACGUUUCUGAGCCUUUUCGCCUUUCUCAUCAAGAUGUAAUAAAGGGUAGCCAUGGAAGGAUCUUGUGUCCUGUGUGCAUUCCUGCGGGCAGGGACAAAGCUCAGGACAUUUGGCGCAGAAAACCCGGGACCACCUCACCAUCGGCUAGCGCCAAAGAGAAGGCCCUCUGCUCCAGAGGAGAAGAUACAGAACCAUGGCGGAGGUAAACUCUGAGAGACAUGUACAACAGAUGCCAGAAACAGAGUGGUGUAAAGAGCUCAAAAAAGGGAGCACUUAGAUAGGGGUCAGAGUUGCCCCUGGGAGAGGUAAAGAAGAAGGAGAAAGAGACAAGAGUAGUGGCACACCUUUCAGAGCCCCACGGGCGAGCCGCCGCUUCUGCGGACGUGGGGGAGAAGUGCCAAGGGUGGUGGGGACAAAAGAAGAAAUAGCUGUAAUGUGGGGAGAGGGAGCGGUGCUAUGGCAAGUGCGGGCGGCGAGUGCGGGCAGCCUCUGAAGGGCAAGGGUGCUUGCCUGCACUUCCCUUGCAUCCCGUCUGUUAUUAACUGCUUUCAUUUUAAGAGUUAUCUUUUUUCAGAAGGUUCCACCCUAAGCUGCUAAGUAUCUGCCCGUUUAGGGCUUCUGUCCAAAGGUAAGGAGCAAAAAAGAAAGGCACAAGUCCAACCGUGCUGGCAGCACGCUGCGAAAACUUCUCUACCCGCGCGCAUUCCCCGCCCCUUUUUCCCUGCGUCCUGCGCUCUGGCGGCAGGCGCAGGAAGCAGUACGGUGGAGGCACAUGGCCGGGGACCGGGCUGGGGUCGGCGGAGGACUGCCCCGCUGUCUGGCACCAGGCGCCAAGCGCACUUCCACCAUGGCGGUGCACCACGACUGGCUCCGGGAUGGCUGGGAAGGCCCGGUGGGAAAGUUGGCUCGGGAGGUGGGGCAGCGUGUCUCUGUGCGGUGCCGAACCAUCCCACCCUGAGUGUUACAGCCCCUGGCAACAGCAUUCACAAAAUCCUGGGGCCCAGGAAGCCAGAUGCCUGUCGCCACACUCUCUGCCCAUCCCACUUGCACGGGCUUGACCCUCCCAUGGCGCGACCGCUCUCCCAUCCCCCGCCCCCCUCCCUACAUCUGGCGCUCCGGCGGGAGGCACGUGGGCCGGGCUGGGACCGCCAGGCACACUUCCACCACAACUGGGGAACCGCCACCCCCAAGGAGCUCGUAAGACUUAGAGACAAACGGCGGGGCCCCGCGGCUCCUCGCUGGGCUUGGGCGGGCGUGGGCUUGCUGGGGCCGCCAGGGGCCAGAGGCAGGAGGUGGAGACGCUCGGCUUGCCGCCUGGUCACCUAGGAGCCAGUAGGUGGAGCAGCUAUACAGUAAACAGCCACUGUGCAGCUUAGCUCUAGUUGCCAUUUGAGACACCAAGUUAUAUUCUCUGUCUGUGUAUUGUCUAUUUUUGAUGCAUCAAAAAUUGUCCAUGUGUCUGUCGAUUCGUGUUUGUUUUUCGUUUGAAUGAAUGAAUAAUUGUUGUCUGUGUUUCAUGUUGAGAAAAAAUAAAACAUUAUCUGCUGGCUGUACAGCAGGAAGCACUGUGGCUGGGAAUCAGCUCUUAAAGGGACAGGCAGCCUUUUGCUUGUAACAGAAAGUUAGCUUAAAAUUGGGAACUCGGGCUGGAGUCAUUCUUAACAACAACAACAAAAAAGAAAACAGGUCUUGUGCAAAAUAGGUUUAAAAAGAAAUUACCAGACAUUUGCUCAAAAUGUGGAAAAGAAAGAUAUUAAAUAGAUAAUUACAGAUCAACCAGAGUUAUAACAGAAAGGCCAAUACCUCAGCUUAAAGUGCAACAGCAAAAAACAAACAAACAAACAAACAAACAAACAAACAAACAAAAAACUCAAAUGCAUAGAGCAUUCCAGACACCAUAAAUGGGGUGCCAACCUAUUCCCUCAGAUUUUAGAAGUCCCUUAUUAUGUGUUCUGCACCCCAAGGUAUUGUGGCCAUUUCUCCUGGAGAUCACAUUGUUCAGUUGUUGAUCCCUCCUAGUUUGCAUAACAUGUUCUCUAGUAGCCAGAAUCCCAGAGGAAAUAAAGGACUUGGUUCUACAGGAACUAAUGUGGCCUACAUAUCUUUGGAUUUGGAUAAUCGUCCCACUUUACAAUUACAAAUAGAAGGAAAACUGGUGGCCUGCUUCUUGGCCUGUUAAUCAAUCAUCAAAUAGCUUACAAGGAUUAGGAUAUGAGGCUACCCACCUAUAAGUACAAAAUCUUUACAUUGGAAAGAUAAAGAAGGAAGGUCAGGGCUUUUUCAACUUUAUGUACUCCCUUUACCUGUAUAUCUAUGGGGAAGAGAUUACUCUCAGAAAAGCAAGAAAAUGAUGAGAGAAAUGGAUAUAUACCUGAACUAGGCCUUAGAAACAACUUACAAGGUAGAGUUUCUCCAGUUAAAAAAGCAGCUAAAGAAUUAGUACUAAAAUAAUUAGACCUGGGACAUGUGGAACUCACACAAUCACCCUGAAGUUCCCCUAUUUUCGUUGUAAAGAAGAAAUCAGAUAAGUGGAGAUUGUUACAUGACCUAAGAGCCAUUAAUGCACAAAUGUAAGUUAUGUGUCCUAUACAAAAAGGGCUCUCCCUACUCUCAGCUCUACCUAAGGAUUAGAAAAUUAUAGUGGUGGAUGUUGAAGAUUGUUUCUUUUCCAUUCCAUUAAGUGGAAAAGAUGAACCUAAAUCUGAAUUAACCUUGCCUUCUAUUAAUCAUAUGGAGCCUAAGUAAGGGUAUCAAUGGUGAGUAUUGCCCCAAGGAAUGGUAGGUGGCCCUGCCAUAUGUCAGUUAUAUGUGGAAAAGGCUUUACAGCCAGUUAGAGAUGGUUUCCCCUCUUUAAAGGUAUGCCACUAUAUAAAUGAUAUUGUAAUUUGUGAACCUAAAGAAGAAAAUAUACAGCAAGCCUAUGGCUUGUUUAAUCAAACUUUAAAAAUAAUGGCUUGAUUAUUGCACCAGAAAAGUACAGCAGUCUAUUGUUGGUCAUUUUUUAGGAGCCACCAUUACUUUAUGGUGUGUCACCCCACAAAAGAUUAGUAUAAAAAAAGAUAAUUUAAAGACAUUGAAUAAUUUUUAAAAAUUAUAAAGGAGAUAUAAAUUUGAUUAAACCUUAUUUAAGGAUCCCUACUUCAGAAUUAAAACCUUUAUUUCAAAUUUUAAAAGGAGAAUCACACAUUACCUCAUUGAAACAACUAACACCUGAGGCUUCUAAAACUCUUAGGAAGGUGGAAACAGCUAUCCAAAAGGCACAGUUGAGUCAUAUAAAUGAGCAAGAACCUUCAUGCCUAUGCAUAUUACGAACCAUAAAUUUGCCAACUGCUAUGUUAUGGCAAGAUGGUCCUUUAGUAUGAAUACAUCCACAUUUAUCCCCUAAUAAGACUAUAGAGCAUUAUCCCACCAUGGUGGCAAAUAUGGCCCAUAAAGGUAUUAAAAGUUCUAUUACUCACUUAAAAAAAAUGCCUGGUAGCAUAAUUAUUCCAUAUGCUGCUACAUAAAUGCAAAUAUUGUGUGCUACUAUAGAUAAAUGGACCAGUCUUAGAUACAGUUAUUCUGGUUUAAUAAAUAAUCAUUAUCCUAAACAUCCUUUAUUAUCUUUCCAAAGGUGAUGGCUAUUACCCCUAUAAAGGGAGCUACUGAUAUUUAUACAGAUGGAUCCAAAACAGGAAUUGGAAAUUAUGUGAUUAAUGGAAAAGCUGUGAGGUUUCAAUUUACACCAAGAGCCCCUCAACUGGUGGAAUGUUUGGUGGUUUUAAAAGUUUUUAAAAAGGAUUCCUUAUGCCCAUAAAUAUUAUCUCUGAUUCUGUUUAUGUAGUUAAUGCUGUAUUAACAUUAGAGACUGCCAAAAAUUUUAAACAGUCUAGUUCAGUAUCUAAAAUUUUGAUGAAAAUACAAGAUUGCAUUUUAAUGUGUGAGCAUCCCUUUUAUAUUCAACAUAUUAGAGCAUAUACAUCUUUACCUAAACCUAUGGUCAAGGAAAAUGCAAUUGCUGAUUCAGCCGCCAGAGAUACGGUUUUCCUAUCAUAAAGUUCUAUAAAAGGUGCUAAAAUUUUUCAUUAACUUUAUCAUGUUCAUGCUUCUACAUUACGACAAAAGUUUAGGCUCACAUGAACAGAAGCUCGAGAUAUUGUUCUACAGUGAGGUAAAUGUGUAAAAUUUAUUAACACACCUUCUGUGGGCGUUAAUCCUCUGGAUUGUGACCCCCUAGAUGUUUGGCAGAUGGAUGUGACUUACAAUAUGUACAUGUGUCCAUCGAUACCAGCUCUGGUGUCCUAUAUGCCUAUCCCUUGACAGGAAAAAAAGAAGUUCAUGUCAUAUCCCACUGCUUAGAUGCUUGGAUUACAUGGGGCAAGCCUCUAGUGCUGUAGACAGACAAUGGUCCUACAUAUACCUCUUCUAAAUUUAGUCAAUUUUGCAAACAAAUGCAAGUGAAACAUAUUACUGGAUUGCCCUAUAAUCCACAGGGCCAAGGCAUCACUGAAAGAGUUCAUCAUACCUUGAAACAAUAUUUUCAAAAACAAAGGGGGAAUAGAGGCUAUGACACCAAACGUGGCUCUAUCCCUUGCAAUAUUUGCUUUUAAUUUUUUAAAAUUGGAUGAUGCUGGGAGAUCACCAACUGAAAGGCACGGACAAUGGCCUCAAUCACCCAAUGAAAUGGUCAAAUGGAAAAAUGUCCUUGAUAAUAAAUAGUAUGGCCCGGAUCCUAUCUUAAUCAGAUCCCGGGGAGAUAUUUGUGUUUUUUCCACAGGAUGAAGAAAAUCUACUUUGGGUCCUGAUGCGACUGACAAGGACCGUGAAAGAGCAAUAUGAAUUCCAAGAUGAUCCUGUUAUUCUUACUCCUGACGAUUGAGACCGGGAUAAGUAUACCCUUGUGGGCCAAAGUAAAGAUCAUGGCCAGUUCCUUUACCGGUACAAUCCAAUUCUUCUACCUAGUCUUUACUUUUUGCAAAGGAAUGUUUUUUAGAUGUGCCUUAUGCACGACAAACUCCUCAAGAGACAUGGGUUUAUAAGAGUACUAGUUUUCAUUUAAAUUAUACACUAUGCUUUGUGCAUAAUGUGGAUAAACCUUUUAUACCCUAUAUAUUUUUAAAGAAAAAGAUUAUCGCUAAUUGGGCAGAUCCCAUUAUCCAAAAUAAAGUGAGCUCUGGAGUGUUAUUUAAUGCUUUAAUGCAAACUGCUCAAGGGCCACAACCAAGAUCAGGUGAUGUUAAAAAUAAUGUAACUUCAUAUAUAAACAUCACCACUAUCAUGAUAAAGGGAAAUGUGACUAUUCCCAAAAGAUCACGAUAGCCUGUUGGCAAUGCUACUGCUAUAUGCAGCAUACCUUGGUCAUUCAGACCUCGCAUUUCCUGUAGUAUUUUUACCUUGUCAAUCAAAUGUUUUUCCUCAAAAAGAAUUAGCAAAGGGUUUCGUUUUGUCAUCACCAUUAGACUAUGCUGUAAGGUAUGAUAAAGGAGAUGCUACAGGGAAAGAAAAUAUUUGGCCAUAUUACCAAUGGAUUUUAAGUAAUGAGAUAGAUGCUAGUACCAGUUUGUCAACCUUUGCACUGUUGACUGGAACCUUUGAUGAGAUAUUGAAUGUUUCUGCCACACUUUCCAAUAUCUCUACUCAUUUGGAUAAUGUGACAUCUAAUAGUUAUUAGAAAUAUGACUACUCCUCCAAUAAAAGUCUGUUUCAAUUUUCAUUUUUCUUUAUAUUGGCUAAAUUUCAAUAUAAUACAGAAUGGUUAGAUUAUACAAAUGCCAAUUGUUUUAUGACACAAUGCUGGAAUGAAACUAAAUUCUUAGCCUUAAUGGUACAUUUACCAACCUUUGUCCCUGUGCCUGUUGAGGCAGAUCCAAGAAGUUCCCAAUCAUGAGUAUUGUCCGGCAGAAGAGAGAUUUUGGAAUCACAGCCGCCACUGUUACUGCCAUUGCAGUGUCCGCAGCAUCCAUGGUUACUGCAGAAAUUGCUAUGGCCUAUCAAGUCAAUACUGCUGAUACCAUAAGUCAGAUAACAGAAAAACGUCUGAGGCAUUGCUUACCCUGCAAAGGGUGGAUUCUCAUACUGCCUCAGGAUUAAUGUUAGUGAAUCAAAGAGUAGGUAUUUUACAAUAUAACAUGGAACAGAUGAUAGAUAUCAUACAAAUGAGUUGUGUGGCAUCAACUUUACAGAUGUGCAUUACUCCUGUUAGGUAUACUAAUAAUUCUUUUAUAGGUUGCAGACAAAGCUGCAGAUACAGAUCCUGAACCUUAUUGGAACCAGAGUGGAACCAGUGACCCUUAGAGACUUCACCUCUUGACUUACCUUUGCAUUUUUCUCACUUCAAAGAAUGGGUGGGGGUGGCCCUGUUCGGCACAACCCUGUGUUGUGGACUAGUGUUUAUUCUAUGGCUGGUUUGCAAACUCAGAUCUCAGCAGAAACGUGACAAGGGGGUAAUUGCUCAAGCACUUGCUGCCAUAGAGCAAGGCACCUCCCCUGAAAUUUGGUUAUCUAUUCUCAAGAAUUAGUCAGCAUCUGAGUUCUCUGCCUUUGCAUCCCACGGGUUUGUGGAUACAUUGCAUUGGGAUGAGAAAAACUCAAGGAUCAUUGAUCAGCCCUUGUGCACCGCUGAGGUUUCCUCUUUGCAUGCGAUAGGGUGAUCAUGAUUUUCCCACUAAUUCAUUUUUUGCUGGCCUCUUUUGUAGAGUUCACCCUAGCCCAUUUAGCAGUUAUUGUCACACAGCACUGUGGUAUCCAGAGACGGGCAACUUUCCUCGUGCACAGACCAACCUAAGACAAUGGGGCCCAGUGGUGAUAGGGUUACCCGGGUAAGGCUGUGAUAUUAGAGGAACGACCUAAAACAGGGGCCACAGCAGAUGGACGUAACUACAGAGGCCUUGACCAGCCUCAUUUUUAUAAAACAUAAAGGGGGAGAUGUGGAGAGCCGCAAUAACAUUUACCAUCAUAAGAUGGUGCUGGCUCCGCAGUGCCUUAUGCCACCUAAACAAAGAACAAGCUAUAUGUGCAUGUGCUAGGAGCAAAAGCCCGCCAAAAGUCACUAGCCCACCCUGGGGCUUGGGAGAUCAUGGGUGGAGCUACCAGUCAUAGUUAGGCACGUCACACCAGAGGGUAUUUAAGCAACACGUUUCUGAGCCUUUUCACCUUUCUCGUCAAGAUGUAAUAAAGGGUAGCCAUAGAAGGAUCUUUUGUCCUGUGUGCAUUCCUGCGGGCGGGGACAAAGCUCAGGACACAAAACUAGGCAGUACAAUUGACCCUUUGUCAACUUGACACACAAACACAUCACUAAUAAGCCUCAACCCUUAGUUUCUUAUUCAUCCCCAAGAUCUAAACAACUUUAAAAGUCCCA
rnacentral:lncRNA from 1 species